AACGAACGCUGGCGGCGUGCCUAACACAUGCAAGUCGAACGAGAAAGGGGCUUCGGCUCCGAGUAAAGUGGCGCACGGGUGAGUAACACGUGGGUAACCUGCCUCUAAGAUUGGGAUAACUCGUCGAAAGAUGAGCUAAUACCGAAUAAGACCACAGUUCCCGCGGGAACAGGGGUCAAAGGUAGCCUCUGCUUGCAAGCUAUCACUUAGAGAUGGGCCUGCGCACCAUUAGCUAGUUGGUAGGGUAACGGCCUACCAAGGCAAAGAUGGUUAGCUGGUCUGAGAGUAUGAUCAGCCACACUGGAACUGAGACACGGUCCAGACUCCUACGGGAGGCAGCAGUGGGGAAUAUUGCGCAAUGGGCGAAAGCUUGACGCAGCAACGCCGCGUGAGUGAUGAAGGCCUUCGGGUCGUAAAGCUCUGUCGGGAGGAACGAAUGCUCCUGAGGUUAACAGCCUCGGGAGGUGACGGUACCUUCAAAGGAAGCACCGGCUAACUCUGUG
rnacentral:rRNA from 1 species